ACGAGACCUCUCCGCAAAACCCGCAGUCACUCACGGCCUUCUCCGCCACUCCGGAACCUUCUCCAAGAAAGCCGCGGCUUACAAAAGGCUGCACACCCUGACACCUCCACUCCUCCAUUCCCCCACCGCUUCAGCUUCCACCGCAAGAAUCACAGAGCGCUCGAGACAAGGGAGAGGGGAGAGAGAGAGAGAGAGAGUGAGAGAGUCAUCCAUGGCUUCCACCGUCGCCCUCAAGGGCCGCCCGCUCGCCACCCUCCUCAGGCAGCUCCUCGCCGCCGACGCGCCGCCCGCCGCCACCGGGAGGCCCGUCGCCGCCGCUCCCGCCGCCUCCGGGAAGCCCGUGACCGCCCCCGCCGCCGCCAACGCCGCCUCCCGCCGCCUGUACAACACCGAGGGCGCGCCGCUCCGCCGCUACGACGUCGUCGACGAGUCCGGCACCGACAGCGGCGACGAGUACGACGCCACCGACGACGGCCGCCGCCUCACCGUCCCCUUCUUCUUCUCCGCCUCCGACGUGCUCGACCCGUUCGGCGCGCCGACGAGCCUGGGACGACUGCUGGCCCUGAUGGAGGACGCGGCGGUGGCGACGGCGGCGGCGCCGGGGACCAAUGGCCUCGCAACCGCGGCUGCACGGCGCGGCGGGUGGUGGGUGGCGAAGGAGGACGACGACGCGGUGCACCUCAAGGUCUCGAUGCCCGGGCUGGGGAAGGAGCACGUGAAGGUGUGGGCGGAGCAGAACAGCCUGGUGAUCAAGGGCGAGGGGGAGAAGGACCCGGAGGACGACGCCGACGCCUCGCCGCCGCGCUACACCCGCCGCAUCGAGCUCCCCGCCGACGCGUUCAAGAUGGACAAGAUCAAGGCGGAGAUGAAGAACGGUGUGCUCAGGGUGGCCGUGCCCAAGCUCAAGGAGGAGGAGCGCAAGGACGUCUUCCAGGUCAAUGUCGAGUAGGAGGUCCGACCAAGUAAGCUCUAGUGCUAAUGGAGAGCGAGACUAUCUAGAGUAGGAGUAAGUUUGAGACUAGAUCGAGAGGCCUUUUUGUGAUGGUGUCCGCGACUCGUGUUCUGAUCCCUGCUUGCGUUUUGUUCAUCCUGUGGGGGUUUCUGAUGUUUUGUUCAUCCUGUGGAGUUUCUGAUGGUGGUGAAAACAGUAACAACAGUGCAAAUCUUUGCUGAUGAUGGUAAAAAAAAAGUACUAGUGCUCCGAGUUACUGAGCUAUUAUAUCGCAUUACCUGCUUGUGCCCUGGUGAUUGUUCAUGACACUUGUCUAGUAGUAUU
rnacentral:lncRNA from 1 species